UUGAAGUCAGGCCACUUGUGCCACGGCUUGAGCAAACCGUGCUGCCUGUAGCUCCGCCAAUAACGGGAGGCGUUAAAAAUCCCGGGGAGGCCAUGCGCCACGGAAGCUGUACGCGUGGCAUAUUGGACUAGUGGUUAGAGGAGACCCCUCCCAUUAUCAACAAACGCAGCACAAAGGGGGCCCGAAGUCAGGAUGAAGCUGUACUCCUGAUGGAAGGACUAGCGGUUAGAGGAGACCCCCCCAACACAAAAACAGCA
rnacentral:lncRNA from 1 species